GAUGAACGCUGGCGGCGUGCCUAAUACAUGCAAGUCGAGCGAACGGACGAGAAGCUUGCUUCUCGGAUGUUAGCGGCGGACGUGUGAGUAACACGUGGAUACUCUACCUAUAAGACUGGGAUAACUUCGGGAAACCGGAGCUAAUACCGGAUGAUAUUUUGAACCGCAUGGUUGAAAAGUGAAAGACGGUGUUGCUGUCACUUAUAGAUGGAUCUGGGCUGCAUUAGCUAGUUGGUAGGUUAACGGCUUACGAAGGCAACGAUGCAUAGCCGACCUGAGAGGGUGAUAGCCCACCCUGGAGCGUGGACAGGGUCAAGACUACUACGGGAGGCAGCAGUAGGGAAUCUUCGGCAAUAGGGGAAAGCAUGACGGAGCAACGCCGAGUGAGUUGUGACGGUCUUCGGAUCGUAAAGAUCUGUUAUUAGUGAAGAACAUCUGUGUACGUAACUGUGCACAUCUUGACGGUACCUAGUCAGAAAGCAACGGCUAACUACGUG
rnacentral:rRNA from 1 species